CUCGGCCUCCCAAAGUGCUGGGAUUACAGGCGUGAGCCACUGCGUCUGGCCCGAGACAGUAUUUCUUAACAGCAAUGUAUGUAAUGCAGCACAGCACCUUCUGGCCAAUGUUUGCUUUCAUUAUCAAUUUAUCACUCUCCACAGCUACACAGGUGGUAACAGAGAUGUGACAUAGUGGAGUUUUUCUCCCUAAUGUUCAUCAUUCUGUGAGGUUUAAUGAUCAGCGUGUUUAUUUCCACAGUUAAUCAUUGAAACAAUAAAUGAUUUUUGGCUUUGCAGCAGUUAGGAACAUGUUUUAUAGUCCUGAUUAUAGCCCACUCUGCCCUGACCAUCAUGAAUACUUUUUUGGAGGUUUAGGGAUUUCAUGUGAAUGAAUUUAUUUAAAAUGUAUUCUUGCCCCUGAAUUGUUCUAUUAUGAAUGUUUGUGAACAUAUGGCAAGUGAAAUGAAAUUUUUUAGUGUACUUUUGCUUUAAACUUCAGUGAAAUGCUCAGCCAAGAGAAGUUGUAACUUGGCUGUGCUAUGCCAGGGAGACCAAAUUCAGUUCAAUCUCUUUGAAGGAAAAGUUUUACAAACCAUAAACUGGCAUUAUCACUUGGAAAGGCCCCCACUGAGACUGAGGAGGUAGGUACAAGAAAGGAUCAUCCUUCUUUUAGUGGCUCAUUUUUUCCCUCCCUCUGCACUUUCGGCACUUUUAGACAUUUUUGGGAAAAAAGCUGUAGCAGCAGCAAUGAUUCUGCUGGCAAGAAUAAGAAACUGGAGAGAAGCAAAGAAUAUUUCUGUGCAGAUGUCCCUUGCAUUGUUUCUGUUCCAAGAACAUUAUUUAUAUAAAGACUCACAGAAUCAAAGAUUCACGGAGGCUUAGAAUCUGGAUGUUUUAUCCCCAGAGACUAAGGUCCAUGCACAGGCUUACUGAAGCACAGUACUGAUUAAGAGCUUAAAUGUUUAUUUAAAACAGAAAUGCCAAACCACUCCACUCUCAACCUUUCAAGCAACCUGG
rnacentral:lncRNA from 10 species